rnacentral:lncRNA from 1 species
UGAAGACGGUUUCGUCGGAGGACCUCACACGCUCUACCACGCUCUGGGGAUAGACUCUACACGUGAGAUUACGCGUCGUUGUCGAUGCAGCCUCAUGUGCCGGUCCGGUGGCUUCACCUUGCCUUCUUGAGUUGGAAUAUGGCCUCUGUUUUAUCUGUUGAGGUUUGGUUUGAUCAGAAUCCUCAAUUACAGUCACUGUCGAUCGGAAAUUUCAACAGUUCUCUUCCUGUUCUGCACAGCUUUUACGGACUGAUUUUUCAACCAAUUUUGCACAGAUUCAACAAUGAUUUUUCACAACCUACGUGCUGAUACCAUUUUAAGCGAAAAUUACACCAAAAACUUGGAUUCUUAUGCACAAAUCGGGUUUAGUUUCAAUAUCAAAUCAAACAUCACAAUUGAU